UACGUAGGUGGCAAGCGUUGUCCGGAUUUAUUGGGUUUAAAGGGUGCGUAGGCGGUUUUGUAAGUCAGUGGUGAAAUACUCCAGCUUAACUGGAGGGGUCCCAAUGAUACUGCAGAACUUGAGUACAGAUGAGGUAGGCGGAAUUGACGGUGUAGCGGUGAAAUGCAUAGAUAUCGUCAAGAACACCGAUAGCGAAGGCAGCUUACUGGGCUGUAACUGACGCUGAGGCACGAAAGUGUGGGGAUCAAACAGG
rnacentral:rRNA from 1 species